rnacentral:rRNA from 1 species
CCUACGGGGCGCUGCAGUGAGGAAUAUUGGUCAAUGGGAGAGAUCCUGAACCAGCCAAGCCGCGUGAGGGAAGACGGCCCUAUGGGUUGUAAACCUCUUUUGUCGGAGAACAAACCCCGGGACGUGUCCCGGACUGCGUGUAUCCGAAGAAAAAGCAUCGGCUAACUCCGUGCCAGCAGCCGCGGUAAUACGGAGGAUGCGAGCGUUAUCCGGAUUUAUUGGGUUUAAGGGGUGCGUAGGCGGUCCGUUAAGUCAGCGGUAAAAUUGCGGGGCUCAACCCCGUCGAGCCGUUGAAACUGGCAGACUUGAGUUGGCGAGAAGUACGCGGAAUGCGCGGUGUAGCGGUGAAAUGCAUAGAGAUCGCGCAGAACUCCGAUUGCGAAGGCAGCGUACCGGCGCCAGACUGACGCUGAGGCACGAAAGCGUGGGGAGCGAACAGGAUUAGAUACCCGGGUAGUC